rnacentral:lncRNA from 1 species
UUAUAUUAUUACAUUGAAUUCUGUGAAGUACAUGCCCAGACAAAUAAUCCCUUACAGAAGAGGGAUGUCCAUACUCCACUCGUAUUGCACGAGGGAGAGGAAAUUUUUAAAAUAUUAAAUAAAUAAGCAUGUUAGCCCUCACAAAUGUUUUUGUGGGGGCUUGAACCGCUGCCAUCACAAUGCUUGUGAGGGCAGCAGCCCACCACUCCGACUA